UUAGUGGCGGACGGGUGAGUAACGCGUGGAUAACCUGCCGUAUACAGGGGGAUAACACUUAGAAAUAGGUGUUAAUACCGCAUAAGCGCACGGUUCCGCAUGGAACAGUGUGAAAAACUCCGGUGGUAUACGAUGGAUCCGCGUCUGAUUAGCCAGUUGGCGGGGUAACGGCCCACCAAAGCGACGAUCAGUAGCCGGCCUGAGAGGGUGAACGGCCACAUUGGGACUGAGACACGGCCCAAACUCCUACGGAAGGCAGCAG
rnacentral:rRNA from 1 species